rnacentral:tRNA from 1 species
GUGGCGUAACGGAUAACGCGCCUGACUAUGGAUCAGGAGAUUCCAGGUUCGAAUCCUGGAAACU